AAUAAAGUGCCUGAUUAAAGGAUUAUUCUGAUAGAGUAAAAUAUGUAAUAUAAAUUACCUUUAUUA
rnacentral:tRNA from 1 species